AUACGGACCGGAUUGUUUUCGCUGGCCCAGUGUCCCCGGAGCUUGUGUGCGAUACAGAGAGCACCUCGGAAGCUGAGGCAGCUGGUACUUGACAGAGAGGAUGGCGCUGUCGACCAUAGUCUCCCAGAGGAAGCAGAUAAAGCGGAAGGCUCCCCGUGGCUUUCUAAAGCGAGUCUUCAAGCGAAAGAAGCCUCAACUUCGUCUGGAGAAAAGUGGUGACUUAUUGGUCCAUCUGAACUGUUUACUGUUUGUUCAUCGAUUAGCAGAAGAGUCCAGGACAAACGCUUGUGCGAGUAAAUGUAGAGUCAUUAACAAGGAGCAUGUACUGGCCGCAGCAAAGGUAAUUCUAAAGAAGAGCAGAGGUUAGAAGUCAAAGAACAUAUUCUUGAAAGUUAUGAUGCAUUCUUUUGGGUGGUAACAGAUCAUAAAGACAUUUUUUACACAUCAGUUAAUAUGGGAUUAUUAAAUAUUGGCUAUAAGUGAUGUGUGUGUUUGUAUUUUUUUUCUGGCAUGAAAUAUCUCAAGUAAAUGCAUAGGACUAUUUAACCCUUUUAUGGGAAUUACUAUUAUUUUUAUUUUAAAUGUCCUCUAGUUCAGUUUGCUUUUGUUUUGUUGCUGCUGCAAAUAUUUUAUGUAUCAAAAAUGAAAUCUUACUAUAUUAAAUACUUUGAAAAUGUACUUCUUAGAAUUAAGUUUAUAUAUAUUUAGAUUUAGCCACAGUUAACUAUGGAAUUUAAUCUCUGAAGAAAG
rnacentral:lncRNA from 1 species